rnacentral:rRNA from 1 species
UGGGGAAUAUUGGACAAUGGGCGAAAGCCUGAUCCAGCCAUGCCGCGUGUGUGAAGAAGGUCUUCGGAUUGUAAAGCACUUUAAGUUGGGAGGAAGGGCAUUAACCUAAUACGUUAGUGUUUUGACGUUACCGACAGAAUAAGCACCGGCUAACUCUGUGCCAGCAGCCGCGGUAAUACAGAGGGUGCAAGCGUUAAUCGGAAUUACUGGGCGUAAAGCGCGCGUAGGUGGUUUGUUAAGUUUGAUGUGAAAUCCCCGGGCUCAACCUGGGAACUGCAUCCAAAACUGACUGACUAGAGUAUGGUAGAGGGUGGUGGAAUUUCCUGUGUAGCGGUGAAAUGCGUAGAUAUAGGAAGGAACACCAGUGGCGAAGGCGACCACCUGGACUAAUACUGACACUGAGGUGCGAAAGCGUGGGGAGCAAACA